rnacentral:rRNA from 1 species
UGGGGAAUUUUGGACAAUGGGGGAAACCCUGAUCCAGCCAUCCCGCGUGUGCGAUGAAGGCCUUCGGGUUGUAAAGCACUUUUGGCAGGAAAGAAACGUCAUGGGUUAAUACCCCGUGAAACUGACGGUACCUGCAGAAUAAGCACCGGCUAACUACGUGCCAGCAGCCGCGGUAAUACGUAGGGUGCAAGCGUUAAUCGGAAUUACUGGGCGUAAAGCGUGCGCAGGCGGUUCGGGAAGAAAGAUGUGAAAUCCCAGAGCUCAACUUUGGAACUGCAUUUUUAACUACCGGGCUAGAGUGUGUCAGAGGGAGGUGGAAUUCCGCGUGUAGCAGUGAAAUGCGUAGAUAUGCGGAGGAACACCGAUGGCGAAGGCAGCCUCCUGGGAUAACACUGACGCUAAUGCACGAAAGCGUGGGGAGCAAACAGG